CCUACGGGAGGCUGCAGUGAGGAAUAUUGGUCAAUGGCCGGAAGGCUGAACCAGCCAUGCCGCGUGAAGGUCAGUGCCCCAUGGGCGUUUAACUUUUUUUGUGCGGGAGCAAUAAUGGUCCCGUGUGGCCAGACGAGAGUACCGUACGAAUAAGCAUCGGCUAACUCCGUGCCAGCAGCCGCGGUAAUACGGAGGUGGCAAGCGUUGUCCGGAUUUACUGGGUGUAAAGGGCGUGUAGCCGGGUUGACAAGUCAGAUGUGAAAGCCUGCGGCUUAACCGCAGAACUGCAUUUGAAACUGUUGAUCUUGAGUACUGGAGAGGCAGACGGAAUUCCUAGUGUAGCGGUGAAAUGCGUAGAUAUUAGGAGGAACACCAGUGGCGAAGGCAGUCUGCUGGACAGCAACUGACGGUGAGGCGCGAAAGCGUGGGUAGCAAACAGGAUUAGAUACCCGAGUAGUC
rnacentral:rRNA from 1 species